ACUCAAAUAUAUUAAAUAGAUAUCUUCAGGAUUAUGGUGUUGAAGCUUAUAUAGCGUUCAUUCAUAGUGGCAGUAAAAUGUUUAUUGUGUUUGAAUGUGUUUAUAUAAGUGGAGCCCUACCUGUUGGUUUGCCCCAUUAUAAGGAUACUAGCUUCUGAAAUGGACAAACUGCGUCUAGCAAUAAUGAGAUUGAGCAAUAACAGGUCUGUGAUGUCCUUAGAUGUCCUGGGCUGCACGCGCGCUACAAUGAAAGUAUCAACGUGUAUUUCCUAGACCGAGAGGUCCGGGUAAGCCGCUGAGCCACUUUCAUGCUUGGGAUUGUGAACUGAAACUGUUCACAUGAACUUGGAAUUCCCAGUAAAUAACGUCCCUGCCCUUUGUACACAGUGCCCGUCGCUGCUACCGAUUGAAUUAUUUAGUGAGAUCUCCGGACGUGAUCACUGUGACGCCUUGUGUGUUGCGUUUGUUCCGCAAAAGUUGACCGAACUUGAUUAUUCAUUUUUAUUCAUUUUUAUAUAUAGAAAUAAGUAAAAUUUUUCUGAAUAGAAA
rnacentral:ncRNA from 1 species